rnacentral:rRNA from 1 species
UACGUAGGGUGCAAGCGUUGUCCGGAAUUAUUGGGCGUAAAGAGCUCGUAGGCGGUUUGUCGCGUCUGGUGUGAAAAUCCAGGGCUUAACCCUGGACCUGCAUCGGGUACGGGCAGACUAGAGUGCGGUAGGGGAGAUCGGAAUUCCUGGUGUAGCGGUGGAAUGCGCAGAUAUCAGGAGGAACACCGGUGGCGAAGGCGGGUCUCUGGGCAGUAACUGACGCUGAGGAGCGAAAGCGUGGGGAGCGAACAGG